GAUAAAUCAAAUAUAAAACAAACUAUAAGCAUUAUAAAACAAAAUCUGGUAGUUUUAUAGUCCAUACAGUAUGGAGUAACUUAAUCAAGCAAAUAAACUAAGCAAACUAAUUACCCACUGUUAUACUAUUACCAGCAGCAACAGCACCUUAUUAUUAUUAUUAUUAAAAAGAGCCAAUAUUAAAGAACUGCAUAAUGAGUUCACAAGAUAUGCAAAUGAAUUCAACACACAAGUUUGACUGACAUGAAUAAUAGUAAGUAAUAGGCAGCAAGGGUCAAGAUCAAACUAAUUUACAGUCUGGAGGAUGAAGAUGUCUUAGCUAAUUGUGUUCAGGGACAAUAAGCCAAUAGUUAUAGUAGUGGUGGUGUCGGUAGUCGGUAGGGGUGUGCCAAAACCGACGUUCGGGUAGGCCUGUAAAAAGAUGGCCCACCAAUAUUGAACUUGAUAAAGGGAGCAGUGGGUGGACUGAACCCAGCAGUAUUGGUCCAGAGGAAGGGGAGGCCUGUGUAUUUAUAGGCUGGGUGACCCUUCCAACAACUUCUGGCUCUGCCUACAGGCUCAGCCUUUCUAUUUUUGAAUUCCCACUAGGAUCCAGGAGGUACAGACAAAUUAUUCUCCAGAUCUAAAUAUCUAGAUUAUCUGACAACUUAAAGGAACACUCCACUGCACAUGAACACACACACACAUCACUGUUUAAUAGAUAUAACCCCAAUUAAAAUAUGCAUGCAUAUAAUUAUGCAUUUUAUCUUCAUUGGUAUAUCUAAAAACAGCUUUCACAAGCUGCAGAUCGAAUUUGCAGCCUUUGUAAGCCCUGCGCUUCUAACCCAGCAAAGACUUUCUGUGACUAUCCAAUCACAGGCCUUCCAAAGCAGCGUAAUGACAAGUCUUUCUAAAGCAUGCACUCUGAGCAAUUGCUGCCUCUUGAGUUUAGUUCCACUGAGCUAAAUAACCAGGAAGUAACCAGCUCCAUCAUCUAACAGCUAGGGGGAGUAAGAACGUUCAUGUAUAAAGGUGCCAAUUUGUAUUAAUUUGUACAAAUGAAGUAUAUAGGGUUCACGGGGUGAGCAGCAGAAACGGAAUUUAUUUAAAUCACCAAGGACAAAACAGCAUAAAAUAUUUUGGCCAAUAGGCUAUUUUUGUAUAGAUUGAUACAUUGGGGUUUUGUUGCCCCCUUUUGCAAAAGAUUUGUUUAUGACCUUUGUUUCUGUGUGCAGUACCCCAUUAAUAUUGUCAAUUUGUAAUGAAAUCUACACUUUUAAACAAUGGGGAAAAAAGAGGACACACUCUUCACACAUCACAUCAGUAAGCUACUUAUAUAUCCCUUUAGGGUUCUGGAGUGCCCUAUUAAUUUUAUUGGUCCAAUCGAAAUGCCAAAGAGUAGUGAUAGCUGUACAUGUUUGGGUAUAAUUGAACCGUACACUCAUACUGAUACUCUUUAAUAAACAUAUAAGCAUACACUGUGCAUUUUUACAUAGUUAACAUUUACUCAUUAGCUAUGAACAUGAAUAAAUACAAUAGAAAUUAAAGCACUAUACACUCCUACGGCUCCUCCAGUCUGCCAUUGAGCACAGGAUUUCACAACUAAAAAGUGCAUUAUCAGAAUUUAAGAUUCCCGCUGGACUAGUAAAUUCUGAGGACUUAUGUUGUUCUCUGCAUCUAGAUAAUUGGAUAUUGAAUUUCACAGGCUUCAAAUAUUUAACUGAGUACUCUCUCAACCUAUACAGUAGUAGUCGUCUUUAAACAUGCUAAAGUUCUUGGAGUGAGCUGUACUGGAUAGCAACCAGUUAAGACCCUGGAUUCUCCAUGCUUUAAAAGAUGAAUGUAGAAAAUUCCCAGUAAUUAUUUAUUAUGUUGCUUUAUGAACAUUGUGGAUAAUAUAUUGUAAAUAGAAGUCUUAAAAGACUGUGCAGAGGCUAUCCAUUUGGAGAUCAGGGCUGCACUAGCCAAUUAAAAAAUAUUCAAACUCUUGGGCAAGCAUUGGACAUAUGAAGCAUAUUUAUAUGUUGCAUUAGCAAAAUACCUCAUAAAGUUAGAGAACAAAUUAUGACCUAUAUUUUCUUUUAGUAUAUUUGCAAUACACCAUAAUUUUGAUAUAUGUAACAAUUUGUUAGUAACUGAUAGUUGAAACUGUAUAUACAAUUGUUACAAUGUAUCUGCAAAUAUGCUUAUUUUAACUGAAC
rnacentral:lncRNA from 1 species